rnacentral:rRNA from 1 species
AUUGAACGCUGGCGGAAUGCUUUACACAUGCAAGUCGAACGGCAGCACGGACUUCGGUCUGGUGGCGAGUGGCGAACGGGUGAGUAAUGUAUCGGAACGUGCCCAGUCGUGGGGGAUAACGUAGUGAAAAUUACGCUAAUACCGCAUACGAUCUAUGGAUGAAAGCGGGGGAUCGCAAGAUCUCGCGCGAUUGGAGCGGCCGAUAUCAGAUUAGGUAGUUGGUGGGGUAAAGGCCCACCAAGCCAACGAUCUGUAGCUGGUCUGAGAGGACGAACAGCCAAACUGGAACUGGGACACGGUCCAGACUCCUACGGGAGGCAGCAGUGGGGAAUUUUGGACAAUGGGCGAAAGCCUGAUCCAGCCAUUCCGCGUGCAGGAUGAAGGCCCUCGGAUUGUAAACUGCUUUUGUACAGAACGAAAAGGUUUCUACUAGUACUAGGAGCUCAUGACGGUACUGUAAGAAUAAGCACCGGCUAACUACGUGCCAGCCGCCGCGGUAA